rnacentral:rRNA from 1 species
AAUGAACGUUGGCGGCGUGGAUUAGGCAUGCAAGUCGCGCGAGAAGUCAUUUAGCUUGCUAAAAGGCGGACAGCGGCGGAAGGGAGAGUAACGCGUGGUUAUGUACCCUCGAGACCGGGAUAGUGUCGGGAAACUGGCAGUAAUACCGGAUAACAUCUUCGGAUCAAAUGGUGUGAUUCCGCUCGAGGAUCGGACCGCGUACUAUUAGCUAGUUGGCGGGGUAAUAGCCCACCAAGGCUUAGAUGGUUACCGGGUGUGAGGGCAUGGCCCGGGUCAGUGGGACUGAGACACUGCCCAGACAUCUACGGAUGGCUGCAGUCGAGAAUCUUCGGCAAUGGACGAAAGUCUGACCGCGCGACGCCGCGGGCGGGAAGAAGGCCCUCGGGUUGUAAACCGCUGUCAGUUAGGAGGAAAUCCAUGAGGGUACUCUCUCAUGGUUGACCGAUUUUCAGAGGAAGGACGGGCUAAGUUCGUGCCAGCCGCCGCAGUAAAAC